UAGUACACUGGCACUGCUGUAGACUGGAUACUCCGGGAACCGGGCUAUACCGGAUAUUCUUCCCUCACAUGAGGGAAGCUGAAAGAUGUUUCGGCUAUCACUUACAGAUGGGCCCGCGGCGCAUUAGCUAGUUGGUGAGGUAACGGCUCACCAAGGCAACGAUGCGUAGCCGACCUGAGAGGGUGAUCGGCCACACUGGGACUGAGACACGGCCCAGACUCCUACGGGAGGCAGCAGUAGGGAAUCUUCCGCAAUGGACGAAAGUCUGACGGAGCAACGCCGCGUGAGUGAUGAAGGUUUUCGGAUCGUAAAACUCUGUUGUUAGGGAAGAACAAGUACCGGAGUAACUGCCGGUACCUUGACGGUACCUAACCAGAAAGCCACGGCUAACUACGUGCCAGCAGCCGCGGUAAUACGUAGGUGGCAAGCGUUGUCCGGAAUUAUUGGGCGUAAAGCGCGCGCAGGCGGUUCCUUAAGUCUGAUGUGAAAGCCCCCGGCUCAACCGGGGAGGGUCAUUGGAAACUGGGGAACUUGA
rnacentral:rRNA from 2 species